AUUUCAAAUUAUUUAGAAACUGUUGUAAAUUUCACAUACAUCAACUGCAUUACAGUUGACUUUGAACAUCCUCUGAUUUUGUUAAAAUGCAUUCUAGUACAGGAUAUUCAAGUAAUUCAAAAUUGGUUAAGAUAUAAUGUAACGAUGCAGCAAUGUUUAUACUGAUAAUGAGCAUAAUAAUAUGCAAAAACUAAAGUUGUUGAAUUAACAUAAGGGAAUGUUUUCCAUAUAUAAUGACACACACCACAAUUUGUGGAUGUGAACGAUAGGGUUUGUGUGCCUUCAAACGUUACACGGUAAUACUUAAGUAGGCAUAUCUUUUACAUUUAGUAAAUAGUACAAGGAUGCCAUACAUGGAAGUCACUUUUGAAAACACGAAUAAAGAGAACUGAAUAGUAAGCCUGUGCCUUCUUUUUUUAAAGUGCUAUGUUGGGUUGUAGAAAACCCCAUAUUUUUUACCAAGUGUAUAUUAAAUUACCACGAAACAAUUCAAAGUUAACUAUGGAUAAUUCUGUUGUAUAACCAAAAACUUGUGAAUUUGUCCCAUUUUAAUGUUGAAAUAAAUAUUCAGUGCACUUGCCCCUCACCACUGUGGGUUCAAAUCCUGACAGGGACUUUGGAUUCUUUCAUGUGAGGAAGCUAUUCAGCUAGCUUAUGGAACGUCGGUGGUUCUACUCAGGUGCCCGUUCGUGCCUGAAAUAAUGCACGGAAAGGCACCUGAGGUCUUCCUCCACCAGUAAAGCUGGAACGUCGCGAUAUGACCUACACUGUGUCGAUGUGACGUAAAACCCCCUCAAAAAAAAAUAUUCAGUGUAUCCUAGCAUCUCAGUGUUUACCUCCAUUGGGAGGUAUUUUGAGUCAUAGGAUGUGAUUUAGCCUUUUAUUAUUAAAUAUAUGUAAGCUAACGUAGGUUAAGGUAUUUUUAUGCAUUGUACUUAAUCAAUAGCAACUCUAAAAUCUGUGUAUACAUGCUGUCAAUAGCUGUUACCUAGACUUGCUCUCUAUCUGAUCAAAAGCAGAGAACUAUUUUUAUACACAGAAUAUUUAUUAAGUUAAGUGAUGGCUUUCUAAGAGGUAUACAUUAUACAAUUAUUAACUAGUGUGAUAUUCACCGGCAGAUGACAUAUUGACCGAGGCGAUAGCCGAGAUCAAUAUGUCUUUCUGCUGCUGAAUAUCACCAUCAUAUUCAAUGGCACACUAGUCAAUAAUUGUUUUAUUAUAUGAAUGGGCUAUCAGAAUUUAAAGAAAAUCACAGACAGUACAACUUUAUACAGGUACAAUUUAUGCCUGUUUCGUUGAAGCACGGGAAAAAGAGGCACGUGAAAGGCGUGCAACAACUACGCGAACACUGGCAUACAAAAGUAAUUCAAAUUUAUACUCAUCAUUGCGGUUUAACUUUUAACUGUAUUGGAAAAGUAAUGAUAUUUUAAUCGAGAAAAACACCAUAAAGAACAAAACGCAACAAUUAUAUUUUAAUAAGCACGCGUUAUUAACAGUCUACGAUAUACAUGUAUGGUCAUUGAAUAUGAGUCUCAAUCUAUAAACCAAUUCAGCCAGUGAAUAUGAUACUACACCCAGUGAAUAUGAUUGUAUAAAAAGUUGUGUUGACUACUGUUUGGACCAUUGAGAUUGCAGCUAUAUCAUAAAAAUUGAUAAUCAACAUACAUACCUUUGAACUCAUUUAAAUAUUAUUAUUGAAAAACAAAAUGGUAAAACUUGGAAAAUAUAUAUAUACAGUAUGGUAAAAAUAAAAAAUUUUGUACGAAAGGGUACAUACAACUUUGGUUAUAAUUUAACUAUUGUUAAAAGUUUUUUCUUGUCAAGUCAUAUGCUAGAAUAAGGUUACUAAUGUAAUAGUAAAUGCUACUACUAGGAAAGACAACAGCCAGAAUUUGGUCUGUAUUAGUAUUUAGUCAUAUCAAAAUCUCUAUUCAUAUGUUGACUUGAAAAUUUGAAAGUGGUAAGGUAGCAGCUUAACUGUAAAUGUUACUCAUUCCUAUGCAAAUUGGAAUACCCUCAGUAAAAUUUAUUUGUCAUUGAAUAUAGUCUUAUCAAUAGUUUUUACUUCCUUGAAAAAUAUUUAACCUCAGGCAGUAAGUAGCCUGGUGAGUUUUUUUUUAUUUAUUUUUUUUAGUUUCUUUUUCUAGGAAAUGUGGUAUCUACAACAUUUUAAAACUUAUAGGCCUAUUAUAAAUCCUUUAAAGUCUGCUGAUGUUGAUUGAAUAAAGGCAUAGAAUGGCAAUCAUGCAAGUUAAUUAUGUUUGGUGAAUAUACAAUACAAUACAAUACAAUACACUUUAUUCCGCUUUAAACUUACAAAGUUUAUAGCAAUAACAACAACAUAAAUACAUGAGAAAUGGUUAACACAGGGUAUAUGAAUACUGUUGGAAAUUUACAACUACAAUAACGUACGAGACUUCAUUUUCAAUUGUUCAUAGAAAAAAAUAAUACAAUCAUAAUGACGUAUUUGGCUGACAUUUUAAUUACUCAUCGAUAAAAAAAAAAAUGUAAAAAUAAUGUACGAGACUUAAUUUGAAAUUUAGUAUAUAACAACAAUUAACACAUCAUAAAUUUGAUAACCUGUCAUUUCGUAACUUUGAUGCAAAGUAAAUAUAUUUUGCUAAGUUGGUAACAUUACUUUUAACAUUUGUCGACAUUAAAAUUUCAAAUUUCUUCAGUGUUGGCCAUCUGCAAAAAUAUCUUUUAAAGUAUUUCAUUCUUAGAUCUCUGUAUAACGGACAUACAAGAAGAAAGUGAUAUUCAGAUUCUAAAACUCCCAUUGAACAGCAUUUGCAUAAUCUAUUUUCUCUCAGAGUACCAUCAUAUCUCUCAGUUUCUAUGGCUAGGGAAUGUGCUGAUACUCUGAACUUAGUUAAUGCUAUGCGAUAUUUUACAACCGUUACGGUAUCUAAAUAUUUCUCCUGAUUGAAUGAAUGUUUAAAUAAACAAUAGGCUUCUAGUUUUCUAGAAUUGUUAAUAUCGCUGUACCAUGACUGAUAAAAGUCAUCGAAUAAUCUUUGUUUGAUAUGUAAAAUUGAUAUAUGAUCCACAACAUCAUUUUGGGACAACCAAAAGUAAUUAAGCCCAAUUUCCUGUAGUACAAGUUUUACCUGAUGAGCCCAGUUUUUCCCCCCAUAAGUAACAUUAUUGUCAGAGUCACAUUUAAGCAUUUCAUAAACUUGACCCAGAAUUUUAACAUUCGCAACUUACGUAUAACAAUUAACGGCACUCUGCCCAACUCCCCAUAAAGUGCAGAACUAUUUGUUGUCAUUUUUACGCAUAAUAAUUUUCUUAAAAAAUAACUUAACACCUUAAAGGUGUGGUAAAUGGAAACUACGCCGUUUCUUUUCGCCUACGGUAAAUACAGAAAAUGAGCAGAUAAAUAUGUUUAUUUACGAUGAUGAAGUGGGCGGGAAUAUGGGCGGAGCUUAUUUUAUUUCCUAUUGAAAAAAUGUUUAAAGCUGGAUUAUGCAGAUCCGAGACAAUGUAAAGCUGAGAAUGUAACUUCUGUUUUGUCGGCGUAUACACGAACAAUGAGUAUUCGAACACUUGGUAUUGCUACUAUCAGCAAAACAGUUAAUGUUUUGUCGUUUAACAAAAUGUAUUUUGUUGAAAUGCAUGUUUACAAUGUUAAAUCGGCAAACUCAAUCCAAGAAUGCAACAUUGGAGUUUACAUACAAAGAAAUACAAUUGUAUUUUGUCCGUUAACAAACUGUUCAACUCAGAUCAACAAGGCUGGAUUUUUGGCAACGAAUAGCCUCCAUACUUAUGAAACUCUUCAAAAGUUGAUCAAAUUAUAACUCUGGGGUCAAAAUUGACCUCGCUCAAGGUGUUCAUUGAUUUUCCUUAUAUGUAUUUAGUAAAAACUUUAAAAAAAAUUCUCCUUUUUGACAAAGGCUAGAAGUUAGAUAUUUGGCGUGAAAUAUUGUGUAGUGGACCUUUACCAAGAUUGUUAAAAUUAAAGUCCUUGAAUCAAAAUUGGCCAUGCCCCGGAGGUCAUUGAUUUUCAUUAUGUACAUAUAGUAAAAACUUAAAAAAUCUUCUUUUUCUGAACAUAUAAUGCUUAGAUUUAGAUUUUAGAUUUAAUGAUAUCAUCUAUAAUUAUGUCCUUUUACAAAGUUGUUCAUAGUUUGUUUCUAGUUUCAAAGUUGGCUGCACCCUGGGGGCCAUAGGUUUCCAAAUAUGGAAAAACACUCUAUGAUUUUAAAAAGUUUAAAUUAGUUAAUAUUUAUUUCAGCCCAAAUAUUUCUGGAAAUUGGUCAAAAGGAUUUCAAAAUAAUUUGGUACAAAUGUUCACUUUAAUAUGCAUUGAUGGAUUUUAAUAUAACUUAGUACCAAUGUUCUCCAUGUUAAGUUGAGUUUUCAAGUGCAAAAUGAAGAUCAAACUUGCAAAUGAAUGUUAUUUCAGCCCAAAUAUUUCUGGAAAUUGGUCAGAAGGAUUUCAAAAUAAUUUGGUACAAAUGUUCACUUUAAUAUACAUUGAUGGAUUUUUAUAUAACUUAGUACAAAUGUCCUCCAUGUUGAGUUGUCAAGUGCAAAAUGAAGGUCAAACUUGUAAAUGAAUGUUAUUGUUUUUAGCUCACCUGUCACAAAGUGACAGGGUGAGCUUUUGUGAUCGCUUUUCGUCCGGCGUCCGUCCGUCCGUCCGUCCGUCGUCCGUCCGGCGUCCGUCCGUAAACUUUUACUUUAAAUGACAUCUCCUCAUAAACCACUAAGCCAAUUUCAUCCAAACUUCACAGGAAUGUUCCUUUGGUGGUUACCUUUAAAAAUUGUUCAAAGAAUUUAAUUCCAUGCAGAACUCUGGUUGCCAUGGCAACCGAAAGAAAAAACUUUAAAUAUCUUCUUUUAAAAAACCAUAAGAGCUAGAGCUUAGAUAUUUGGCAUGAAACAUCUUCUAGUGAGUGUCUACCAAGUUUGUUCAAAUAAAAGCCCUGGGGUCAAAAUUGGCCCCGCCCCGGGGGGUCAUUGAUUUUCCCUAUAUGCAUAUAGUAAAAACUUAAAAAAUCUUCUUUUAAAGAACUCAAAGAGCUAUGGCUAAGAUAUUGAGCAUCAAACAUGUUCUAAUAGGUGUCUACCAAGUUUGUUCAAAUGAAAGCCCUGGGGUCAAAAUUGGCCCCGCCCCAGGGGGUCAUUGAUUUUCCCUAUAUGCAUAUAGUAAAAACUUAGAAAAUCUUCUUUUAAAGAACCAAAAGAGUUAGAGCUAAGAUAUUUAGCAUGAAACAUGUUCUAAUAAGUGUCUACUAAGUUUGUUCAAAUAAAAGCCCUGGGGUCAAAAUUGGCCCCGCCCCGGGGGGUCAUUGAUUUUCCCUAUAUGCAUAUAGUAAAAACUUAAAAAAUCUUCUUUUAAAGAACUCAAAGAGCUAUGGCUAAGAUAUUUAGCAUCAAACAUGUUCUAAUAGGUGUCUACCAAGUUUGUUCAAAUAAAAGCCCUGGGGUCAAAAUUGGCCCGCCCCGGGGGUCAUUGAUUUUCCUUAUAUGUGUAUAGCAAAAACUUAAAAAAUCUUCUUUGAAAAAACCCAAAUAGCUAGAGUUAAGAUAUUAAGCAUGAAACAUCUUUUAGUGUGUGUCUACAAAGUUUGUUCAAAUAAAAGACCUGGGGUCAAAAUUGGCCCCGCCCCGGGGGUCAUUGAUUUUCUUUAUAUGUGUAUAGCAAAAACUUAAAAUCUUCUUUGAAAAAACCCUAGAGUUUAGAUAUUAAGCAUGAAACAUCUUCUAGUAAGUGUCUACAAAGUUUGUUCAAAUAAAAGCCCUGGGGUCAAAACUGGCCCGGCCCCAGGGGUGUCAUUGUUUUUAACUAUAUGUGUAUAGUAAAAACUUUAAAAAAAAUCUUCUUUUAAAAAGCCCAAUGAGCUAGAGCUUAGAUGUUUAGCAUGAAACAUCUUCUUAUGGGUGUCUACCAAGUUUGUGCAAAUAAAAGCCCUUGGGUUAAAUUGGCCCUGCAACUUUGGGGUGGGGGUUGGGGGAGCCUAUAUACAGGUGAGCGACCUCAGGGCCAUCAUGGCCCUCUUGUUUGGGUUUGUUUUUUGUUUUUUGCCUUUGACCUCUAAGUGUGACCUUAACCAUUGUCGCAUACACCUGAAUUUUUUGCUGCCACAUUAUGGAGAAUAUAUGUCCCAAGUUAUAUUAAAAUCCCUCCAUCCAUGUAGAAGUUAUGCCCUGGAUAUGGGUUUUGCCCUGACCCCCAAAUGUGACCUUAACCUUUGAGUGGCGGACCUGUGUUUUGUGUGUGACACACCACCCAUGGUGAAUAUUUGUAGCAAAUUAUCUUGAAAUUCUUAAAAAAUUAGCAAGAUAUAGACCGAACAAAUCUGGAUGGACUGACGGACGGACACAUGCAUGGAGGCAUAUACACCAAACUUUAUGCCAGAAAUGAUGACCUAAGUUGAGAUCACCACAAGCAGGCUCAACAAUAACUUGGGAUAAAUGUUCUCUAUAGUGAGGCUGAGUUGUGCACCUUGGGUUUUGCUUGUAUUUUUAUUCAGAAUUUGUUAUUGAGUUAUUGCCUUUGACUUAGUAAAAACCAUUCAAAAUGUUGCGUCACAUAUACCACUAAGUUCUUGAGCUACAGUUAACAAACUUUAUCUCCCUUGACCUAGUAAAAAUUUGCAAUUUUCAACUUGUGUUGCAUUAAGCUCCAAAAGUAUUUGACUGGAGUCAAGAAGCUUUACAGGAAUGUUGGUUUAAACAUAUUUUAUUCAUUACAUAAGCAUAUUUACAUACAUGAUAUUUACAAUCAAUACAAGAAAAGGAUUAGACUAGAAACAACCUAAUGCUUAUUGAAGUCUUUUCCCUAUGUACAAUAAACAGGAAUAUUGAUCAGCAUGUAUAGUUAUGCAUCAUGGGGCUUACUUGCGGAUUGAUUUUGUAUUUGUAGAGUUAUUGCCCUUGACUUAGUACAAAUACUUUUCAAUUUUCAACUUGUGUUUUGUGUUACUUAGAAAGUAUUCGAGCAAGAGUCAUGGAAUUUACAGGAAUGUUGGUCAGCAUGUGUAGUUGUGCAUCUGGCAUUUUUGUUUCUUUUAAUACUCUUUUAAUCAUAAUUUAGGAUAUAAAAUUGAGAUUACAAAUUCUUGCAGCUCAAGUGGGAUCAGGAUGUCAACAUUGAAAAAUUGGAUGUCGUUUUUUAAUGCCAACCACUUUGAGGUAGGGGAAGUCAUGUAGAGUAACCCUUGUCUGUCCCUCAUUCAAACUGUCCUGCUGUACGUCAGUAGACUGACAAAAUAGUGGAAUGUGGGGAGCAUCUGUGUUAUAUGGACACAUUUCUAGUUUUUAAGUGCUUAUUAAAUUUUUUAGUUGACAAAAAUAUUUUUUGUCCAUAUAAAUAAUUUAUAACUCAUAAAUAUUUUUAGAGCAACUUUUUUUUUUAGAUCAAUACUAUGUCUAGUUGUGCAUCUCAUCAACAUUUUUUGUUUAAAUGAUUUUUGUCAGAAUUAUGUCCAUUCAAUGAUUUUAAUUUUUUAAAAUGUGUCCAGACUACUCCUCUUAUACCACUAAAUGCAAUUCAAUAACUUAACAGGAUUGAUCGAUAGCUCAAGUACUUGUGCACAUUACACAGGUUUUCCGGUUCAAAGAUUUUAGCCGAGUUAUUGCCCUUGAAUAAAUAAUGUGUUUUGCCUUGAAAAUGAUUUUUGUGUUGACUGCCACACAGUAGCUGCAACAUACAGUUGGUUAUGAUUAGGCGACACAUGUGAUCACUAAUGGCCCUUGAAGUAUAGAGGAUAUUAUAUGUUUAUAUCAUUUCAUUAUUUUAAAACAAUCUUAUUAACUGAUGUUACUUAAAAUUUGUAAAUUCACCAAAUAACAGUAAGUUGUAAAUGAUGUAUUUAUAUGUCAAUUUUUUAAGGCAAUUUAUCAAAACUUUGGACAAGAAUUAUUUCUAAAGUACGUACUAGCAGUUGUUAAUUUACAAUGCUACCUCUGAUUUGCCAUAUUGUGGGCAGUCUUCUUUAAUUUAAAGACUGAUAUGGGUUGAAGGGCUGAAGUAAUGCGGUUGUAUCUGUUUUAUUAUACAUUUAAACAAAGUUGUUCCAAGGAAGAAAUAAUAUAAUAAGUUGCAGAAAGUUAAGCCCAUGACUACCAGUGCAUUUUUAAAUUGCUGAAUUUUAAAAGCUUUAAAUCAAGGGAGGUAAUAUGCCCAAAAAUAUUAUAUUUAUGUUAAAGCUUAGAUGUUUUGCAUGAAGCAUGCCUUGUUGACAUCUACAAAAUUUAUAUAAAUGGUGCUCAAGUGGUCAAUAUUGGCCCUGCCCCACAGGUGACAUUGAUAGAAAAACUUAUUUUCAUUUAUUAGCUCGACUAUUCGAAGAAUAUGAGAGCUAUUGUAGUCGCCCCGGCGUCCGCGUCGGCGUCUGCGUUGGUUAAAGUUUUUUGUAAAGUCAAAUAUCUCAAUUAUUGCUUGAGAUAUUCAAUUGAAACUUACAAUACUUAUUUAUAGUAACAAGGUACAUCAGAUUGACAAGUUUGAUAACUCUGCUAACAAUAUUGACAGAAUUAUGCCCCUUUUUAACUUAGAAAUUUUGGUUUAAGUUGUUUUGUAAAGUCAAAUAUCACAAUUAUUGCUUGAGAUAUUCAAUUGAAACUUACAAUACUUAUUUAUAGUAACAAGGUACAUCAGAUUGACAAGUUGGAUAAUUCUGCCUACAAUAUUGAUAGAAUUAUGCCCCAUUGGAACUUAGAAAUUUUGGUUAAAGUUUUUUUGUAAAGUCAAGUAUCUCAAUUAUUGCUUGAGAUAUUCAAUUGAAAUUUAAAAUACUUUUUUAUAGUAACAAUGUACAUCAGUUUGCAAAAUUGCAUAACUCUGCCUGCAAUAUUUGCAGAAUUAUUUGCCCCUUUUAAACUUAGAAAUUUUAGUUAAAGGUUAAAGGUCUUCAAAGAUAUAUGUACUUACGGUCAUAAUUUGAGGGUCAUAAUUGUAUGUCACUGACCAAGUUCCAUAACUCUAUCUUGCAUUUAUGCUGAUUCAUAUCCCCUUUUCUCUUGGUUAAUGAUUACAUGCAAGUUUUACAAAUCUCAAUAACUAUUAAAGAUAUUUAUUUAAAACUUAACAUAUGCAUUUAGGGCCAUAAUUGUAGGUCACUGACAAAGAUUCAUAAUUCUAUCUUGCAUUAAGGCUGAUUUUUCUCCCCUUUUUUCAACUUAGAAAUUCAUGAUAAAGUUUUGCUUGUAAACUGUUAUCUCCAUAACUAUUGAAGGGUUUGUGCCUUUUUUGGGACAAUUUUAUGCAUUCAUAAUAAGAAAGCAGUGAUUUACUUGAUAAAACAUCUUAAUAACAAGCCUUUGUUCCUUUUCUGUCAAGUUUAUGUAUUCAUAGGUAAUUAGUAUUAUUAUACUCAAUAAAACACCCUUGUGACAUUACCUUCCGAAUAGUCAAGCCAAUACUGUAUAAUAAGACUCUCUCUCAAGGCCUAUAACAUGAAUUUAUAAAAAAUUAGCCCUUUUGUGAACUUAGAAAAUUUAAAUUAUCAAGGCUCUUUUACCAUCAAGCUCUUAGAAUAGUCGAGCGUGCUGUCCUACCGACAGCUCUUGUGUAUUCUUACAGUUACAAAUCCCAGUUAUUUGAUAUGUAUCGUUACAUAUAAGAACCCUGCAAUUGUCCCAAAAAUCAUUUCACUAAUAUUAAGAAAUGGCUGUGCACAGUGGGUUGGUGGGGGGAUGGGUAGGUUUCUCACAGUUUACAUGUACAUGUAUACAGAUUUAUAUACCAUAGUAUACAUGUACAUGUUUUUAAAGUCGUUUUCUAUAACAUGCAUAGCAUAGAUUUUUAGCAUGUAUCAUCUCUUUGUAAAAGAAGACUUAUCAGUUUAUUAUAAGAUGGAUGUUUGUUGAGUAUUGAUGUUAUAAAUGUAAAGGGAGGUAAUAAAAAAAGAAGAAAAUUAUUUUUAAGCAUAGCAUUUUGAUUAUGUUUUGUGCUUUUGAAUUUCUGGUAUAAUAUUAUUUACAUGUUGUUAUCCUGCGCCGAAAGGCGGCGGGGGAUAUAGAAAUAGUCUCCGUCUGUCCUUCCUUUGAGCAUAUCUUAAAAAGCAAUUGAGGUAUCAACUUGAAAUUUCAUAGGUGGAUAGAUCAUAUUGAGGAGGAUUGCAGUGCACAAGAAUGAUAACUCUGCCCUGCAUAAUUUUUCAGUUACUGCCCUUUGUUAUUUUUCAAACUUAAUUUUUGUCCAGACUUGCAUAACUCAAAAAGCCUUUGAGAUAUCAACAUGAAACUUCUUAGGUGGAUAGAAUUUACUUAAGAGGAAUGCAGUGCAGAAAAAUGAUAACUCUACCCUUCAGAAUUUUUGUGUUAUUGCCCUUUGUUAUUUUUUUCAUACUUAAUUUUUCACCUGAGUGGAGCAUAACUCAAAAAGUCUUUGAGAUGUCAAUAUAGGUGGAUAGAUCUUAUUGAGGAAGAAUGCUGUGCACAAAAAUGAUAACUCUUCCCUUUAUAAUUUUUGAGUUAUUGCCCUUUAUUAUUUUUCAUACUUAUUUUUUUCCUGAGUGGAGCAUAACUUAAACAAAAACUUUGAGAUGUGGACAUGAAGCUUCAUAGGUGGAUAGAUCUUAUUGAAGAGGAAUGCUGUGCACAAGAAUGAUAACUCUACCCUUAAUAAUUUUUUAGUUAUUGCCCUUUUUUAUUUUUUAUACUUUUUGUCCGGAGCUUAUCUCAAAAAGUAUAACAGGUAUAAACUUCAUAGGUGGAUAGGUCUCAUUGAGGAGGAGUGCAGUGCACAAGAAUGACUAUGCUGCAUAUUUUUUCAGUUAUUGCCCUUUGUUAUUUUUCAUGUGGAUUUUUGUCCAGACAGUAACUCAUUAAGUAAUUACUAUAUAAGGUAUUCACUUGAAACUCAAAAUAUAACAUAGUCUCCGUCCGUCUGUCCUUCCGUCUGACAUUUUUGUCUGGAGCAUAUCUCAAAAAGUAUUUGAGGUUUCAACUUGAACUUUCAUAGGUGGAUAGAUCUCACUCAAGAGGUGUGCAGUGCACAAGAGUGAUAACUCUACCCUUCAUAUUUUUUGAGUUAUUACCCUUUGUUAUUUUUCAUACUUAAUUUUUCACCUGAGUGGAGCAUAACUCAAAAUGUCUUUGAGAUGUCAGCAUGAAACUUCAUAGGUGAAUUUAUCUUAUUGAGGAGGAAUGCUGUGCACAAGAGUGAUAACUUUACCCUUUAUAAUUUUUUAGUUAUUGCCCUUUGUUAUUUUUCAUACUUUUUGUCCGGAGCUUAUCUCAAAAAGUGUUAGAGAUAUCAACAUGAAACUUCAUAGGUGGAUAGAUCUCAUUGAGGAGGAGUGCAGCACACAAGAAUGAUAAUUAUUACCUAUCCUGCAUUAUUUUUUCAGUUAUUGCCCUUUUGUUAUUUCAGCCAUCAGUAUUCACAUAGGUUUCAAAUCUGUAAUCACUUCAGCCAUCAGUUUUCAUUACCAAAAGACCUCUUAAAAUUGAAUUAUUCUGCUCUACUACAUAUACAUUCUUCCAAUGAGCAAACACAUUCGGCGGGGGAUGGCCAUGUUAACAAAUUGGUUCUUGUUUCUUUUUGAAUUUUCAUUAAUUGAAAAAAAUAAAAAUAAUAAACAUGAUAGUUUUUUUAAUCAGUAUAUAUCCUCUGUGACAAUUGCACGGAAGUAAAUAAUCACCACUCUGUGCUUCGAAAUUAGCCUUUUUAGGGCAUGACUGGACAGGUGACAUAUCAGGGGUCUGUAUUCCAAAGCAAAAGCUGUGGCAUAUUAUUGUCACUAAGUAAUUAUGUGACAAGAGAUAUAGAUCUUAAUAUUAUUGAUAAUUGAAAUAAAACAUAUUUUGGACAAAUAUUAUAAACUGGUAUCCUCUCUGUUUGAAAAUUAUUUUUGGUUACUCUAUUUGUUUUUUCUUAAAACAAAUUAGCAUUCGGACUUAUAUUGCCUGGCUAAUGCAGUGCUCUUGUAAUGUAAACAGUUCUGAUUUUGAAUAUAUAUGAUAUUCUUGUAGGUUGAUUACUAAAUUUUUUGAACUCAUUGAAUAAAAAUAUGCUCACCAGAGACUGGCAUAAUAUAAUUUUAUUCAAUUUUUUUAAUGAAUUCAGUAUUGAAUAUACACUUAUUCAAUAUCCUCUAUUUAAAUAAAAAUCUGUAUGUUUACAUAAGUGAAAUGUUGAUAUAAUAUGUUGAUUUAAUGUUUAUCAGAGCUGCAUUACUGGUACUGCAAAAGUGAAGGCAACCAGGUGUGAAAAGCAACAAAAGACUGUUAUGUUUUAAAUGAAAGAUGAUUGCAUUGUAUUGCAGUUGACUGGUUACUAAACAAUAAGAUAUGAGAUAUGACAUGAACAUAUGUUGAAAAUAUUGGUUGUAAAAUGUAUGUUAAGGUAGACCAUGGGUAAUGUAUUACCUCUACUUUGAAGAGUAUUCAAAUAGGCUAGAAUCACUUGCCAACUACAUUGAGUGUGCGCGGUUCAAACCCCAGAAGGGGCAACUUUUUUUUUUCUUUCUUUUUUUCUUUUCAACAUUAUUUAUGUAUUUCUCUGAUCCCUUAUGGAAGAAAAAAUGGUUUGAUUUAAAUAAUAUAAUAAUUGUAGGUAUUUGUUGGCUAAAUAAUGCCAAAAUUUAUAGCAAAUAUGAUACCAGAUAUUUUCAAAGUUUAAUAAAUUAAAAACUACACGGUAAAAGUAUUUUAUAUUUCGCAUGAUCAACCAAUAUACCUUUAAGGAAAUUUGAGCAAAGUUUGAAAACAGCCCCUCAUUAUGGUAAAUUUUAGGGAUAUUUUGAAUAAGGCAUUUUAGAUAGGGUCCAAUUGGUAAAAUUAGUGUUUAAAGUGGGUGGGUUAGGGUAACAUUUUUGUACAUAUUAAGAACAUUUUGUUUAGAAACAAACAUUUUGUUUGUGUAAUUUGUUACCUGAAUGUUAUUAUUUGUUUCUCAACAAUGACCAAUAGAAAAACAUUUUUUAUAAUGAUGAUAAUUUACAGAUUAUUUAGAGUUUCCUCAUUUCUAAAAAUAAGCCCUUCUAAUGGCAAAGUCUUAGUUCUGAAAUAUAUCCAUAACUCGUAAACCUCAAGGUAAAUUUUAUUUAAAUUUUGCAUACAGGUGACCUUAAAGACAUAUAACUGUCCUAUGUUGUCAAUUUUACAGUUCCUUAUUGUGCCCAUUACCCAUGGUCUACCUUAAAUCAUUAAAGUUGUAAAAAUGUAUUUUUUAAAGUAAAUAAUAAUUCCUUUUAUUUUGCUGAAUAAUGUUUGCAUUUUUGUGCCCCCACUAUAGGGGGGGUGGGGGCAUUUAGAUUUACCCUUGUCCGUUCAUCCGUCUGUCCAUACAAACCCAGAGGUACUUGUGUGACUUGGAGAACAAUGGGUAACAGUAAAUUCUCUUUGAUCCUAUUCAUUCCGUUUUUACUUUUUGUGUGACUAAAAAUGGCCAAAAAGAUCAAAGGAAAAGUCACAUAAGUACCAUUUUGUGAGUAUGUCCGUCCGUCUGUUCCCUUUUUGUGUCGCACGUAGCUCAAAAAGUAUUUGACCUAGAGUCAUGAAAUCUUAAUGGAAUGUUGAUCAGCAUGUGAAGUUGUGCACCUGGGUAUUUUGGUAUUGAUAUUUUUAGUAUUUUUAGAGUUAUUGCCCUUGAAUUAGUAAAAAUGUGCAAUUUUCAACUUGUGUCGCACGUGACUAAAAAGUAUUUGACCUAGUGUCAUGAAACCUUACUGGAAUGUUGAUCAGCAUGUGUAGUUUUGCACCUGGGUAUUUUCGUGUUGAUAUUUUUAGUAUUUUUAGAGUUAUUGCCCUUGAAUUAGUAAAAAUUUCCAAUUUUCAACUUGUGUCUCAUGUAUCUAAAAAAGUAUUUUACCUAGAGUCAUGAAACCUUACAGGAAUGUUGCUCAGCAUGUGUAGUUGUGCACCUGGGUAUUUUCGUAUGGAUAUAUUUUUAAUAUUUUUAGAGCCCUUGACUUAGUAAAAAUUUACAAUAUUUAACUUGUGUUGCACGUAACUCAAAAAGUUUAUGACCUGUAGGCCUGAAAGUUUACAAGAAUGUUGGUCAGCACGUGUACUCAAAAAUAUGCACCUUGGGGUUUUCUUGUUGAUUUAUUCAGUAUUUGUAGUACUUGCCCUUUACUUAAUAAAAGAUUUUUAAUUUUCAACAUGGGCACAUGUAGCCAAAAAAAAAUUUGACCUAGAGAUAUAAGAUUGACAAAUCGGUGGAGUGUGGGGGCACCCGUGUCCUAUGGACACAUUUCUAGUUUUUGAUAAGAAGUGUACACAUGUGAAAUGGAAAUAAUUGUUUAAAAAAAAAAAUCAUUUAAAUUAUGUAAAUAUACAUGAUAUGCUAUUUUUGUUUAACAGUGUGUAUUGAUUCAAACUAUGAUGAAUAUAUAAAAGUAUUGGUACUGAUACUUAAUGACUUAAUUACUUCCUUAAAAAUGUACUGUUACUGCAGUACUGAGCUAAAAUCUAGUAUUGGUACUGAUAAUGGUACUGCUUAACUUGGCAAGUACUGGUACUGGUACUUAAGUACUACACCAUUAGUAAUUACUGAUGUUUAUUUUAUAUGCAUAUUAGCCUAAAAUAUAAAGAAAAUAUUUCAUUAUAUUGUAUAUGUAUAUUUCUUUCUAUUUCUAAGUAUACUGUGCUCCUCUUAGUUCACGGUACUUAACACUUUGAAAGCAGAAAGAAAACAACUAAUGAAACUUAUGGUAAAAAAGUUGUCAUAAGCUAUAACUUAUAGGUAUUUUCUGCUGUAACAACACUAUAUUCGGUAGACCAUAUGUCGGCCAUUUUGAAAACAGUAUGUCAUCAUUUAAAUCACGGUAAUGGUGUUACAUUUCAGUUUUUUCAUGUUUCAGUUAAACUUUCUACAUGUUUUUUUGCUUAAUUUUUAAUAUUAAAACUUUAUUUCAUGCUUUCCAGUGUUUUAUUGUGAUAUAUCAGAUGAUUAUAUUUUGAUAAACCACUAGAGAAAUUUAUAAAAUAUAAUUUUCACUGUAGCCGGACUAUAUCUGAAUGCGGAUGAAAAGAGAAUCAUUACUAAAUGGAAUAACAGGCAGAAAUGAAUGCUGUCAUGUGUAAAUUUUGCUUCUUUAGGAAAAGAAAGUCGAUGUCACCAUAAAUCAUGCUAAAAAUGUAACAAAAUUAGAGAAAUUUAACAGAACUAUGUUUCAAAAUUGAUGAUGUGACGUCAUGAUGUGAUGACGUCACAAAGGAGAAUGCGCGACGUUACGCGGCAAAAUCAGUAAAAAAUACUAAAAAUCACUUAAAAAGCAUGAAAUAAAAAGAAAAUUUAUUUGUUUUACAUAUAAGAUUGAAAUAUAUUUCAUUCGUGAACACCAGCUAUUAUAUUUUCACUCGUGGCUACGCCACUCGUGAAAAUAUUGCAUCUGGUGUUCACUCAGUGAAAUUAUAUUUCAAUCUUACAUGCAAAACAAACAAAUAUCCUCUAUAUCUUUACCUUGUCAUUCAAAAUUUAUUUUUUCAACAAACAAGAAUAUUUAGAAAAUGAUGAUUGUUUCCAAUGUAUGCACAAAUUUAAUGGAGUAUUGUUGCUUUUUGCAGAAGUUUGUAAAAUGUUGUUCUGUUUUACAUAAAAAUCAAGAGAUUUAGAUUAUUUUGCACAAAAACUUUGUUGUUUAUGUGUUUGAAUAAAAUAUGUCAAUUCUGAUCAUUUUUAACACUGGUCACAUGAAAAUAUGCCAUUUCCGUGAAAUAAGUGAUGACGCGGAAUUAGUGAUGUUGAGUAUAUAUUUUGUUUUUUAUGUAUAUAUAACUUGAAGCUGGUCUUCAAAUAUGUGAUAAUUUUAUUAAUAUGCAAAGUUUCUAAAGUUCUGUUACUAAAUACGUGUAUGUAGUAGUAAGAACUAAUAAACGUCUUUUAGAGAAAAA